AUGAAAUUAUAUGCAUCAAUGUCUGGACAAUUUUUGUUUUACUUGUUUGGAAUAAGAUGUGAAAUGCAGCAUUGUUACAUUCACAAAUUAAAUAUUCGUUGCCAUUUGAUGGGAAGCUUAGCCCGCAAAAAAUGAUAUCAGUCACAUUCAAUGAUUGGUGAGAAUGGAAGUUUCCCCAGUUUUGAUAUCCUAAUAAUACUUUUUUCAUGCUUUUCAUGACUGAAGAAUGCACAACAUUUAGUAAGCUGCUUUUAAAUAAUCAAGAUUUUUCACUUCUGUUGGUAGUCGGAACAUACACAUGUUUCUUAUUGGCUUCUUUUUUUUUUAAUCUUUUCUUUGGCUGAAGUAUAAAAGUGCAUGUGGGUUCUUGAUUUGGUUCUGUUGUUCAAAUGAAGCACCCUAGGCUGCUGUUGUCAUUUCAUAGGUCAACUGUUAGAUCCAGAGUUUAGUCCAGGCUUUUCAUAAAUAUUGAGUUGAAUUUCAACCUCAUUCUUUCAGUUUUUUUCUUUGUGUUGUCUGUUUUAUCCAUUUGCCAUAUGCAUGUGUUGGUCCAUGGCCUAACUAAGGUAAUUAGGUGGGUUGGCAAUUUUUGUGUAGGGAGGAUCAUAAGGUCAAACCAUGAUGUUUUCUUUGUGUACCCAAAUGAAAUAGUUUUGACAUCAGUUUGCUAUCAAUCUCUGUUGGAAAGAGCGAAUUAUAUUUUAAUAACAGCCUUUAAGAAAAACUAAGGAAAGAAAGAAAAGCCAUUAUUUGAAAAAUUGCAUGAUUAGUUUAGAACAUGUUUGAAGUGCCCUCUCUAUUUUGGUUCCAAUAGCCAUUAGGUCAGGUGUCUCUUAGAGAUUUUUGGAUUGUAAAAUAAACUUAGAUAAAAGCUAUCUCAAGCAUUCAAGCUUGUAGAAGGGGUAAGGAAUCUUGAAUCAUAAUGAAGUUAAUAGCCUGUUUGAGAUUGUGAUUCUGACCUGCUUUUUGAAAAAACACCAUUUGCCAAAAAAAAAUAAUAAUAAUAAAAAUGAGAAGGGCAUUGGUAGAU
rnacentral:misc_RNA from 1 species